rnacentral:tRNA from 1 species
UCUAAUAUGGCAGAUUAGUGCGCUGGAUUUAAGCCCCAUUUAUAAAGGUCCACCUUUUUUUAGAA